CGGGGCGUGGUACAGAGGUCGUUGCACAGCACUGCUAAUGCUGAUCACGCCGGUUCGAAUCCGGCCCCCCGG
rnacentral:tRNA from 1 species